UACAGAGGGUGCUAGCGUUGUUCGGAAUCAUUGGGCGUAAAGCGCGUGUAGGCGGAUGGACAAGCCUGAGGUGAAAGGUUGGGGCUCAACCCCAUACAGUGCCUUGGGGACUGUUCGUCUGGAGGCCGGCAGAGGAGAGUGGAAUUCCUGGUGUAGCGGUGGAAUGCGUAGAGAUCAGGAAGAACACCCAUGGCGAAGGCAGCUCUCUGGGCCGGUACUGACGCUGAGACGCGAAAGCGCGGGGAGCGAACGGG
rnacentral:rRNA from 1 species